rnacentral:rRNA from 1 species
UACGAAGGGUGCAAGCGUUGUUCGGAAUUACUGGGCGUAAAGGGCGUGUAGGUGGAUGUAUUAGUCAGGAGUGAAAUCCCGGUGCUCAACCUCGGAAUUGCUUUUGAUACGGUGCAUCUAGAGUGCGACAGGGGACAAUGGAAUAUCCAGUGUAGAGGUUAAAUUCGUAGAUAUUGGAUAGAACACCAGUGGCGAAGGCGAUUGUCUGGGUCGUAACUGACACUGAGGCGCGAAAGCGUGGGGAGCGAAC